GCUGUACAGAUUUCCUUACAUUGACCAGAUUUGAGGGUGACACUUUCAGAAGAGUCUCCUGUUUAAGAGUGGAAACCUUUACAUACUAAAUCUCUCUAAAGGACCUUUUAUACUUGACAAAAAGAGUGAAGGUCAUGAUGCCUAAUGAUGAUGUCACUGAAAACUCUCAUGGACUACCUGAUGAACAACUUUCCUUACAUUGACAAGAUUCAAGUUUGCACUUUAAAGGCUCCACCAAGGGACGACUGACACUGAAGCAGACGCGCACGGUCAAAUAUCAGAUGGAGCUCAGUGAGUCUCACUGAAGAACUGAAGAAAGGAC